rnacentral:pre_miRNA from 1 species
AAUAGAUGACGCCAUUGACUUUUUCUUACAUGUUUGACCAUUCGUCUUAUUCAAAAAAAUUACGUAAUUAUAAUUUAUUUUGUUAUGAGUUAUUUUAUCACUCAUAUUACUUUAAGUGUGAUUUAUAUUUUAUAUAUUUGCAUAAAAUUUUUGAAUAAGAUGAAUGAUCAAACAUAUAAGAAAAAAUCAACGGUGUCAUCUAUU